UUUUUAUUACCCACAAUCCCUUGCUUACUUACUUAACAUACAUUUUCAUAACUUUUCAUAUUUUAACAUUUAGAGUACACCAGGUCAGGCUGUGUAUCAUGCGUAUAUAUCAUGGAAAAUAUUCAAGGUAGGCAAAUUGUUCUUCGGCAAAAGCCAUACUAUAUAUAAUUACUAUAAUUACUAUAAUUACUGUACAAGGUCAUCUAGAUAGUAGCACGUCAGCAGGUGGUUCACGGCGUUCAGUCACGUGAUUGCUGAACGUUGUACUUCCUUAACGUAAUUUUAAUCUCCCUGCGUCAUUUGUUCGUUUGUCUUUUAAUCAUGCACAUCGAAAAAUUACGUUGCUAUGUAAAAAACCGAACAGUUUGGAGACACGAUCUAUAUCUAAGAUAACACCUAAAACCUGUGAUCUCCCUGCGUGGCUGACCCUAAUUGACACAUAAUUAUUUUUAUAUUAUUGAAACAUAAUAUAAAGUGUCAAAUUUACAACAUUAACUGAAACGAUAACGAUUUGUACGUCCAAAAAAAAAAAAAAAAAAAAGUGUACCGCGCAUGCGCAGUGACCAACAUGACGCACGUACGUUGCGUUUUACUGGUGCCAAAAAUAUUGCAGUGUAAGUUUAUGCUAAACAAACAACUGUGGCUUAUUUCUUUCUGAAAUUGAAUUAUUUGUGCAGAAAUACAUUUUUAGUAUUGCGGCAUUGCACUUGCUCUGAGAACAAUGAGGUUUAUGACAAGCCUGGACGAGAGAGAUUUUACAGAGGACAGUAUCAAGUUCAAGAUAUGAACAGUGAUUCAGAGGAAGACGUUCUGGUGGAUGACUGGAUGACAUCCAAACAAGAUCUGUUGGACACAUCAGAUGAAGAGCUGAAUGAUGACCUUUUGUGUAGCGAUGAUGAGAACGAAACUAUAAGAUGUCACAAUGAAAGCAUUUCUAAACCAAAACUGCAGGCGAUUGCAAAGCCUUACCUCGUUUGCAAAACUCCACACCUUGCUGAAGACCAAGGCAGAUGUCCUAAAGAAGAGGUGGAAGUGGACCCUGGUGAAGUUUUAGACAUCGAAAUCAAUGCCCCUUCUGGAGAUGAAUUUCACGAAGUUGCUGACUACAGUGAUCAUCAGCAGGCCAAUGUAAAGAUGGAUGUUAAGGAUGACAUUAAGGUGGUGUCCAGUUUGCAGGAGUCAAGAGAGGGUGGAUCUGAGUUGCGAGAGGGUCUCUCUCCUCAACCCUUUGGGCCUCAUCUCACACACUCCUGUGGGGGACAGCCUGCCCCAGAGGAGACCCUCACUGGACCCUGCUGCAGUCCUGAGCCAGUGUUCCCAGGACAGCAUAUGUUUGAUCCACAACACUCUGCUUCAGUCUUGGACACUAAUCCGCCCCUUGCUGGACCUACUCCCAUGGGCUCCAUUCAGCCUCCAGGAAAUGAGAGUGACCCCUGCAGGCCCAGUCUAGCUUUGCAAGGGCCCACCGAUCUGUCAAGGCCUGGGACUCCCCACCGUGGGCAAAAGCCUUUUCAGAAACAUCCAUCAGCUCAGUCUGGCUGCUCCUUUACUGCUCCCUCUGGACCACAGGCACAGAAACCUGCUGUGCUGGUAAGAGCUGUUGCCAGGAUGGUGCACAGUGCCAAGCCAAUGGCUGUUGCCAGGGGGAUGCCCAUUGCUGCAAGGCAGCCAGCAAGUGCCAAGUCUAAGAUAUCUGCCAAAACUCCACCAGCGCCAGGGAUGCUGGGAAGAAAUGUGGGUCAGAAGGUCAAGGUGCAGCCCCAAACUCCUCCAGCUACUCAAAAACAUCCCGCAAAGCCACUAAACAUGACAAACAACAAAGAGUGUGAGGAGGAGGAGUUCUACAUGGAGAGGCUGCAGGAGCAGAUGCGACUGAGGGAGCAGGUUAUCAAACAGAAGGAACGGAUGAGAUCUAGACGGGCUGUAAACAAGAAGCAUCUGCGGCAGGAGCACUUCCAAACUGAUAGUUCCACCGUACACUGGAACAAAAACCAAAAUCAACAGAAACAGCCGUGCAUCUUGGGUUCCUGCCCUCGAAAGGUUACGCACCUGCAGCCCUUCCAUAAUCCCCCUCACUGUCUUGUCUUGGAGCGCCAUCCAGAAUACCAGCCCUUGCCUUCACUGCAGCACCAGUAUCAGGUUUUAGUACCCCCACUUCAGCCUCCAUGGCAACAAGCUCCACGAGGGAAUCUAUCAGAGCUGCAGCAUAAUCAGUCUCAUCAGUGGGGCGCAGAAAGGGUGGUGUUCCAGGGAAUGGAGCAAGUCCGAGAUCAGAUGAACCAACAGUACAGUACUGAAGAGGCCCAUGCAGCAGGUCCGCAGGAAGUCUGGCGAGGACGCAAGAGGAUGUGUGAGCAGAGAACUUCUGACGGGCCUGUUCCCACCAAAAUUAGAGUGGUAAAACACAUCAGCCCAGUUAGUGCGAGUUGUGAUCUCACACCACAGACGAGUGAAGAGACUAUUGCAGCGACUGAAACGAAGCCCAGAAUUGUCACCUUCAGAAUGCCUGAUUCAUCUCCUCCUUCAUUUCAGCAACACAGUCUCAAGUCAAACUGUCCCAAACAGGGAAGGGGAUCUGGUCCAAACCAGCCCCAGGAUGAGGUUGUUGUUCAGGGGCGAGGUAGAGUCGGAGAGGGCCAGAUGGGCAGUGCCCACUUGGUGCCAGGCAAACAGACGAGCAGUAGAGCGGGAAGAGGGGGGAGAGGAUGGGCAAGACUGCAGACCUGGUGUCAGUUGAAGGGCUUUCUUCAUCAACCGCUGGGGUCCAUCUGA
ensembl:lncRNA